CAACUACUCCCUCUGUCCCAAAUUUCUUGUCUUAGAUUUGUCUAGAUACGGAUGUAUCUAAUACUAAAAUGUGACUUGAUACAUCCGUCUCUAGACAAAUCUAAGACAAGAAUUUUGGGACGGAGGGAGUAAUUU
rnacentral:pre_miRNA from 1 species